rnacentral:rRNA from 1 species
AGAGUUUGAUCCUGGCUCAGGACGAACGCUGACGGUGUGCUUUAGGCAUGCAAGUCGAACGAGAAAGCCCUUCGGGGUGAGUAAAGUGGCGAACGGGUGAGUAACACGUGGGCAACCUGCCCCUCGCAGGGGGACAACCGGAGGAAACUCCGGCUAAUACCCCGUACGCUUGUUGGAUCGCAUGGUCCGGCAAGGAAAGGUAGCUUCGGCCAUCCGGCGAGGGAUGGGCCCNNGUUGCAUUAGCUAGUUGGUGGGGUAACGGCCUACCAAGGCGACGAUGCGUAGCUGGUCUGAGAGGAUGAUCAGCCACACUGGGACUGAGACACGGCCCAGACUCCUACGGGAGGCAGCAGCCAGGAAUCUUGGGCAAUGGGCGAAAGCCUGACCCAGCAACACCGUGUGGGCGAUGAAGGCCUUAGGGUCGUAAAGCCCUGUUGAUAGGGACGAAGGGCGAAGGGUUAAUAGCCCCUAGCUUGACGGUACCUUUCGAGGAAGCCCCGGCUAACUACGUGCCAGCAGCCGCGGUAAUACGUAGGGGGCGAGCGUUGUCCGGAAUUAUUGGGCGUAAAGAGCGUGUAGGCGGUUCGGUAAGUCUGCUGUGAAAUCCUAGGGCUCAACCCUGGGCGUGCAGCGGAUACUGCCGGGCUAGAGGGUGGUAGAGGCGAGUGGAAUUCCGAGUGUAGCGGUGAAAUGCGCAGAUAUUCGGAGGAACACCAGUAGCGAAGGCGGCUCGCUGGGCCACACCUGACGCUGAGACGCGAAAGCGUGGGGAGCGAACAGGAUUAGAUACCCUAGUAGUCC